rnacentral:lncRNA from 1 species
CUAAUGAGGGGCAGCUGCUAUAAAAGACUGCAGUUCAGCAUGUGGGAAGGUGGUAGAGUGGGGGGAGGGGAAUUAUAGAUGUUUCUUGUGGUUGGAAGGAUUUAGUAGCCCUAGGGAGGCAAUACCUUGCUCAUGGUAGGAGAUAUCAGCAAGCUAACACAGAUUGUAUCCUGGAGGAAAGGAUGAAGUAACAUAUGGUUCUACCUGCAAGAUGAGAAAUAGUGACUCUGAGAUCAAAAGACUUGUAGGAAUAAUCUGUGCUGAAUUUUAAGUUAUUCAGAAUAACAUUCAGAGGUUGUAUGUGCUGCAUAUGCAUGGAGGUAGGGAGGGAUUGUUGUGCAGACAUCAUGGAACAUGUUUUCAACACUGAUAUUUGCUUUUGGCAUCUAUCCUGAGUUAUUUUAUAUAUUUUUAAGUGAGUUUGGGCUUUAAUGACUACUUUUAAGCUCGUAUUUAUGUUUUUUCUUGGUUUAGGUAAGAAAAAAAAAGUUCAGUUUGUUUUUUUUCACCUCAGAAGUCUCUCUUCAACUUCUUUUCCAACAACAAUCCUACACUGUGCUGUCACAGCACAGUGACAUGUCCUGGUUUCCAGGGUCAGGCCAAAUUCUGCUAUCAGUUGCACCAAUGAAAUGAUGAGGAAAUGCUGAUCCUGGUGAUGAAACACUUGAAAUGUGGAGAGCAGUUUUGAUUUGUGGCUAUUGUGAUGUUGUUUUUACUUGAAUAGCUCUUACGGCAGUUUACUUUUUCCAGUUGUGCAGUAAAACACUUUUACUGUGGUUGGCUUAAUUCUCAAAGCUUAAAAAAAAAAAAAAAAAAGAAAAGAAAAAGAAAAAGAAAAUCAAUCUGUUUCUUUGUACUCAGUAUACCAGAGCUGAAAGCUCUAAUGUACUGUUACUUCAGGGUCACUGCUUAACUUCUGUUGACCCUCUUGUCCAUGAAUAUUCCCUUGAGUUCAUUACAGCAAUUUAGUUUCUGGAUUUUUUUUUUUUUUUUUAAUGUAUGAGCUUAUACAUGGUUCUUAAAUAACUGCUACCAGAGUUGUUAAGAACCAUGAUUGAUCUAAGGUCAAAAACAAUUUACCACAUGCAGGAACACAAUCCAUUAGACACUUCACAUGAAUACCCAUUGUACUGCAAAGUUUAUGAGGGGAAAGAUGUGAGUGUUACAGACAGGGCAAUACAAAACAAAUAAAGAAAAACAGGUAGAGCACUGCAUAGCACAGAUCAGACAUACUAGCAAUUACUAUUCUGUCCUUUGGGAAAGUUCUGAGUUAAGUACCCACUGUUGUACGUUGCAGCUUUUUUCUUCAGGAAGAGGAAUACCAGGAAGGGAGAUCUUUAAGAGCUACUUAGAGUAGUGCAAGGGAAUGAGAGAAUAGCACUGAAGGCAACCCAAGGUUCCUGUCCAACCUUGCAAGGAAACGGUUGGGUAAAGGAGUUCCUUCCAGGUAGCCCUUGACAGGGCUGAGACAGCAAUCUACACUGCUUAUCUCUGCUGCUGAAGCUGCUUGGUGCCAAGACAGUCAUGUGGGCUGAAGAGAAACUGCAGACUUCCAAAGAGGUUGUCAAGACUACAGCUACAGUUUACCAAGAAUCUGCUUUUGCUCCAUGGGGAGGGCUUAAACUUGGAGAUCAAAGUGUCAUGAUGAACACUUAGCUGGCAUGGAUUUCUGACAUGAAAAAUCAUCAAGUGCUAUCCUUUGCUGGACUGUGGCUCACCAUUCCUCUCAUUAGGCACAUGGCCAGGCUCCAUGGGGUAUGUGGAAGCUGCAAAGACUAACAUCUGGAUGUUUGUACAGGGGCUAAGCUGCUCAGGGGAAGAUCAGAUCAACAUGCAAGGGCAAAUAACAGGAAAAACUCACUGCAAAGAGGAGUGGCAGCUGUCAGAAAGUAGGGGUUACUGCUUGGGGCAAGCCUAUUUCUUAGAAGAAGAGUACGCUUUCCUGCAGUGAAAUAAUUAUUGUUUCUGAGAGACAGGAACCACUACAGAAUCACUUUUCAAUCUGCAAAAUCCAAGCAGUGACCACUUCAAAGCAAGAUAAAAGGAGACGUUGAUCUGCUUUAGCCUCUGACUGUUCCUAGAGUUUUCUACUUCUUGAAGACUUUCCUGGCAAAGGAAGUAUUGCUACAAGUGGAAGGAAGAAGCCUGCUGUGCUCUUCUCUGAAGAUAUGUCUUCUCCUUAAGCCUUCUAUCAGCAUGUGUCACAGUGGCAUUUUGCAAAUUUGCUGUGCAUUCCUACACACCAAAUGUUUAUUACUCAUUUUAAGAUGUUUCAUCAGAACAUGGGAAAAUAUGCUAAGGUAUCUGGCCCAGCUGUAUAUAGAAGGUGAUUCAGUCCAGUGUAACCAGUUUUAAAAAAAAUGUCCCUGCUUGUCCACCUUGGUGUGGUCUUGGAAAGCCUACGCCAGGGAUGAAAGCUGCUGACAUGCUUUUGAAGCAGGUUUCAGGGCAUACAUAUGCCAUUCCUGUGUGAAGUUCAGGCUCUUCAGGUAUGUAGAAAUCAGGAUACUCUUGCAGAGGUCAAAUGAACAGAGAAGUAGAGACCAGAGAGGACCAAGGAACAAAAGGGCUGCACUGCAGCUGAAAAUUCAUCCUACUCUCUUUGGAAUUGAGCAAAUCUCUUCCAAAGUGUAUAUUGCUAAUUUCCUGUUUAUCACAGAGGAAAAGAUAUGGACUUGAGCAUGAAUCUGUGGUCCUUAACCAGACUGCACCAGCUAGGAAGACUUGGUGAUUUGUUUGCUGUUGGAGAAAGACUCUUCAAUAUUUCUCCUUGAAAUCAGGUACCUUCUCACCAAGAACUUAGCAGAAGUAAUACUAUGAGUGGGUAGACAAAAGUGAUGUAGGGAAAAACAGAACUCUAAUACCACAAAGUGUUAAUACAGCAAAAUGCUACGCUGCUUUUCAAAAAGAGCACAUGCUGUCUAAUGGGACUUAUGUGCUUGCCUAAGCUAUGCAAAUACCACAUAGAUGUAUGUUGGGCCAGAACAAAAGCAGGACUUACAUGUUUGAUGAAAAGGCGGGUAGAAAGGAAAGAGGAAAGGUCAACAUUUAAAGGAAAAAAAGGAAAGGAAAACUUAUAUUGUGAGACAGGAGCUUGUAUUGUGGAGACAGGGAGAUGAGAAUAUGGGAUACAAGACAGGAUAAAGGUGUCUUACCUGUUGUGUGACCCAGUGCAGUGCCAGAUACAUAGCACUAGUAAAACUGGGUCGUUUCUUCUUCUCUUUCACUUUUAUUUCUGUUUGCUUUCUCUUCUGUGUCAUCCUUGAGCAUCUUGCAGUUCUUCUACAGUUUUAGCGUAGCCUGCUGACCAGCACUAUACCGUUAAAGUCAGCCCUGUGACAAGCUAUCAGGGUGAUCUCUGGUUCUUCUCUGUCCUUAGGUCCUGUAGCUGUCACUGUACUGGACAUGACGAAUGAGAGUCUCAGCCACAACCUUUGCUGGAGUUACAAGGAUGGGACUUAGAACUCCCUGAUCCUGUUUCGGGCUUUGCUGCCUUGCAGUUGUCAAAGUUGAGCAAUGUCCCUAGAGUUUCUGGUCACAAGCAGGCAAAGGCAUUCCUUGGUGCAGUACUGCUGCUGCCUGUGUCAAUGUUGUUGCAAAGGCAGAUUAAUUGGAGGUCUGUGGGAACCAUCUCCAAUCCAGAUAAUUCCACUUUAGCUGGAGCUUUUUGUUUUCUCAUUUUGGAAGGGUGCUCCAAAAAAACCCCCAAAAACAUUAUACUCUUAAAAUCAUUGCAGAGUUCAAAUAGGAAUCAAAACUGGUUUGAAUUAAACUUCUUGUGUAACCUCAGAUGUUAUUCUGUUGUACGUUGUCUUGCUUGCUGAAAUGUUUCUCUUUAAUUUUUUUCCCCUCAGCCAUAGGCACAUUAUCACUACAAGAGAUAAUGAGACUGAGUUCCCGUGGCUACCACACCAUGAAUCUGAACUGUCUCUUUACACCCCUAGGAAGCACUCCAUAGCCAUAGAUUGAGGCAGAAGCGUGAGGCUGUUCAUGUGGGAGGUUUGUCAUGCUGCUGUCCUAGAGAUAAGCAGAAAGCUUCACUGAACAAAGCUGCACUAGCAUUAACCACACAGCUCUUAGAGACAGCGCAUAGGCACAUCCUAAUUAAUCAUAAUUAUGCAAACUCAGGCAUUUGCAUAUAGCACCGUGCACGGAGUUGCAGGGAAUUUGGCAGUGAUGCCUCCUUGCUGUGACUCAGCCAAGAAGGGAACCUCAGCACCUGCCCCAGGAAAUCAGACAGAGACGAGACCCUGGGCUCUCCCAGCUGGGAACAAGGGAAAAAAACAAAGGCUUGCUUAAGGUUGCGGUGUAGCUUCUAUUUCCCUACUUAAUGAGGAAGCUACCUCUCUGCUUUAUACUUU